CAAUUCCCAUCCGGCCAAGGGUAGCCGCCAGCCGGUAGCGAGCCUUGCGCAGCGUCGGGUAACCGCCGCUGUGAAGCGUAGGCAGCAAGUGAGCAGGCCGUGUCAUUGAGCCCCGAAAUUUUCACCAUGCGAUCGCCGACGCCUUGCGGAUAGCGGAAGGCAACACGAACUCACCGAACAGGCUUGGUGAGGGAGGGUCGCCGGGGUCAUUAGAGCA
rnacentral:ncRNA from 1 species